UGCGAUCUGGAAGAAUCGUACCGAAAAUCAAAAUGACCCGACUGAUCUUCAAAAAAGCUACCCGAUUGACGUGGGACCGAGCUCUAACCGCAACCGCUCACAAACCGCAAUGUCCGCCACGUAACUCCGCAGUCCACAUACCACAGUUGGGAUCUGGCCCAGUGCACCCGUACUAACCGUGACUAGCUUACUAUCGGAAGGUAAUGGCACGAUGAGGAAAAACAAGAAAAACGCUGAAAAAACACAUUUUACGUGUGUUACGCCAGUACCUUCCGUAUUAAGCUGGUUGGAUUCACCGGGGCCGAGCGUUAUGCCACAGGCCGCAAGCCUUCUACCGCUUCUCUCAAUGGCGAGGAAGCAGUAUUUAAACCAGCCUGGUCUCGGCCGUCGCGACGGCAGGGUACGGUAUUUUUAGGACUUACCAUCGUGCUGGGGGCUGACAGACAGCGUUUCUGGUUUUAUCCCCAUGCAAAUGCAUUGGGUUAACCAAAACGUUACCGUCAACGAAAAUUUUUAAUAAAUGUGUAUUGGUUGUUUCAGUUUUAUUUAUGUAAUAAAUACGUUUAACCGACCGAGUACCAGAUUGAUGAGGUAAGACUAUUUCGGGAGGAACUGAAAACGCCAAUGCCGUCUGACCUGCGUCUGACUCUGAGCUCUGAGGGAAGCAGUACAGUAAUAAUGAUGCGUCAUGAAAAGCUCGACGGAUUGUGGCUAAAUUUCGUUUCUAAAUUUACAAAAUGGCGGAAAAAAUGUACAAAAACCGCAGAAGUUUAAUUUUACUUUUGUUAACGUAUUUUUUUCAUUUAUUCCAAAGGAUUACAUUUAAAAAAAUUAAAUUUUUUUGAUAAUUUUCCAAAUGCGCUUUUUGCUUUGCUGUUUUUGUUUUAAAUUUCCAAUUUUUAACAAAAAAUAAUGAAGAACGGUAAAUUUUUGAAAACAAUAAUACAAUUGAUGAGAGUAAACUUUUAGUGAUCAACUAGCUUGGCGUUAAUUAUUUAAAUUUCGCUAUGAGGCUUACUGACUAAAGUAUCUUAAACCGAGAGCCACUAAUCACUAGAGAACCUAGCGUCAAACAAGGUAAACUAAAAAUGGAAGUUGGCAGUUUUCUGCCUUCAGGGACAGCCCUAUUUUGUGUGUCUAUUUCCCCCUGUUAUGUCGUGGUACGUACUGUACAGUACGUACAGUAUCCUGCACAAAAAUCCGAACACCGAUUUAAUUUUUUAAAGCCACCUAUUGGCGGGGU